AUCCCGAAAAAUCUGAAAAACAGAAAGUUACUGCUUUGCUAUUGGUCCGCUGGAUAUGCUUCAACCAAUCACCAGCUGAAUAUGGCGUAUCUUCUGCUGACAAUAAACGUGCUUUUAUGAUAAACUACCGAGAGAUCCGGUACAAAACGAUCUUGAAAAUUUGUUGGAUGACUUCUGAACGACCAAAAGUGCAGGGGGCCCGGGGGGCCGUGUGGCUCGGCUCUUCACAGUCAGUGUGAACGGGACCAGCGCUCGGAGUCGGCCCCGGUGGAACACGGCGCACUCCCAAGCGCUCUGCGCCAGCGUGACGUUCCUCACCACGAGCCGGAACUCGCCCGUGGGCUUCUGUACCUCGGGGUUGGAGAACGUCUGGUGACUCCGCGUGUCGAUCCACAGCAGUCUGGUGGAGUCCUUCAGAUCGAUUUCCAAAGUGCUCCAGGUCUGAGCCAGACCGUUUGCAGUCUCCUUCAGACACAGUCUGUCUCCAGCUCCAAAAGCCCUGAAGCCUUGCUCUUAAUUGAGGUUCACAAAAGAGAUGCAACGAGCCGGUCCUGCUGAUUCUGUACACAGGCGUGGUAUCCCAUGGUAUACCUGGGAAAAAAUAAUACAUUCGCUUGAUAUGUAUGUAUGUAAGUAAAGUAUGUAUGUGCAUAUAAUUACAGUCAAAAUUAUAUUCAAACAAAGUUGCAUAUGUUUCCACUUAAAUAAUCAUUUCAAUUUUAUAAAUUAUAUAACUAGUUUUCAGCUCAGUAUAUGUAAUUUGUAAUAUUUAAUUCAAUAUGGUAAUAUUUCAAUCUGUAAUAUGUGAUUCAAUACUGUAUUUACCCAGCCGUAUUUCCAGUUUCACUGCAGAUUUUUUCCCUGUUCCAUUGAAACAGUAGUAACGGCCUUCAUUCAUCUUCUGGAAGUUCUCCACCAGCAGGUAUGCAGUGCUGUUGACCACUAAUGUCUUGAUGCUACUUGAUGUCUGCUUGGUGACCCAUUCCCACUUUGGAGGAAGACUUGUCUCUAAUCUGCAAUGUAACGUGGCAUCCAAUCCACGUGGUACCUGGACGACUUUAUCUAGCAGAACAAACAUUAAAAUGGCUUCCACGCAUUCACGAAUAAUUCGGCCAAAUACACAACCAACCAAUUCUUGAAAUCAGAUGGAAAUAUUAUGCACUUCUACACCCGAAAGCUUUUCACAAGAGAUGACCGUUACUCUGAAACAGCCCUGCUAUGUAACCCUUUCGAUUGUCAGAUGUUCACUUACCUUUUGCAAAAACAGGAGUAUAUCCUGGUGUAAGAAACAACAGAAUCCAGCAACCAAUGGAAAAAUGAUGAAUCAUUGUUUAAUAUUGAAGUGUGCAUCUGAUGGUGUCAGGGAUUAUUGCUUAUGAGCAAAGCGGAGUGGAACUCCAUAUCAUGCUUCCUCUCAGCAAGGAGGUGGGUGCAGUAAUAUCAUUUCACCCUGUAAGAGAUAUAUAUAUAUAUUUAUAUUUAUACGUCACAGAAGGAAGCUAACCUUAGCCACCAACUGUAGGAUAACCGCUUCCUUUUGUCACUCAGUAAAGCAAACAAAAAAACUCAAGUCCAGUUAGAAAGAGCCUGCUUGUCAUAAUUUGAUUUCAAAAGCAAAGUUUAAUUUAUUAAAAUGUGCAGUACCCUUCCUUCA